GGAGCCGCCCAGGUCCCCCCGGGCGUCGAUGAAUGUGGGGUACCAUUCCUUGAUGAUGUGGUCAUGUUUGUAGUCGGCCUUAUUGUCCUUUAGAUGUUCCACGGUGUUCCGCUCGCUCUUCUCAUAGGCCUCCCGGGGCUUCCGGACAGACACCUUGCAUUCUCGGACCUUGUUGACGAUGAAUUCUUGGAUGAGAAACCUGAUAUCUUCCAUGAGUCAUCAUAAAGAAGUCUGAAUAUCUUGGUUGAGAGCUAGACUUUGGAAACAGAGAGACCCUGUAUAAUAACAGACUAAGAAGUAAGGAAGACAAGCCCAGCCAGUCCCACAACUAUUUCAUUAAUACCAGGUAAAGCAACAGACCUGCCAGUGAAGCAUCUUGGAUCCUUUAGCUUUAGAAAAUCAGCUCUGUUACAUCUGCCGCCUCCUGUGAGCACAAGGCACAGAAAGUAGACCCUGUAACCCUCAGAGGGCCUGAAGGAAAGCGAUGCUGGUGUGACCUGCCCAAGAGGAUGGUGCCCAAGGCAGAGCAUUCUAGACCCUCAUAGGCAACAGAGCCAGAAUCUAUUGAAAUAUUAUUUUUUUCCGUGCAUCCACAUUUGUAAGAACACUGAUGGAUAUGAUGGUUUCUGUUUCAUCAAUAUUAAUUUAAAGCUGCUGAAUAUCCUUGGAGAGCUAAUCAAGAAGGAAUGGAAGUGAGGAUACAGAGAAUGCACAAACGGGAACCAUGUGAGGACAGUGAGAAGGUGGCCAUCUACAAGACGAGAUGAGAGGCCUCAGAAGAAAGAAACCAAAUCUACAGACACCUUGAUCUUCAACUUCUGGCAUCCAAAACUAACAAUACCAUCAGAUGGAAGACAUCUGGAGUAUAUUUUCAAGCUCUAUAUUACAGAUCUCUUAAAAAUCAGAAAGUAAUUAGGCAAAGGAGAUAAAGAAGUAAAAGCAUGUUUAUUAAAAAAAAUUUACCAAGAAUAUGGAAACAUUAUAAGAACAAUCUGUUCUGUAAAAGAAGUACUACCUUGAAAUAAUAAACUAUAAGAGACUGAAUUUUAAUGGACUUUUCUUAAAUAAUGAUGAUUCUAAUGCAAACACUAACUUUGUUUUUCAUAUAAAAUUUUCUAAAUUGUUUUACCUAGCCAUUUUAAAAAACACGUUAGCAAGUUUUGUGUUUGGGAAAUAAAAGAACAUACAGAAGAAAAAUUACAGUGUAUUAUUUUUCUCAUAAGCAAUUUAUAUUUCACAUUUUUCUAAUGAAAUUAACAGAAUCACUUACCUUCUUGAAUACUAUUUCAGAAUCAGCCAGUUUAAUUUAUGGGUAACACUAUUUUAAAAGAAAAAUGCUACCUUUAAUAUUAUUUUGUUAAUUAUAAUUUAUUUGUUAAAUGUCUGGUAUGAAUGUUUUUAGUGAUUUAAACAUAUUUUUCAGUAACUUGGCAAAUGAUGGAAAAAUCUGUUAUUACAAGCAUAAAUUAGACUUAUUUAAUCCUUAUGUUAAGAAAACUAUAUGAAAUGUUUCUAUAGCUGAAAAAAAGUUAAUGUUAUUAAACUAAUUUUAAACCAUAA
ensembl:lncRNA novel transcript